CUGGGGCCGGUUGUAUCAAAGGCGUUUAACUUAAACGGUGUUUAGCCGCUAUCCAGCGUAUAAAUUUCUUAUCCAACGGAUAGUUAAACGGCCGAUAAAAUUGCGUUGUACGAAGCCCAUUUAGUACCGCGUUUAACUAUCCGUAGGAUAACCUUUAAUUUAACCGGAGAAAACCGGAUUUUCUUGAAAUUUCCUACCUCUACGUCAGCUGUUGCUAAGCCUUUGUAAACUUUUGAAGCUUUAUCUAACUUGCGAAUUCCACUAAGCUUUUGCAAUAAAGUUUGUUGUUGUUUUUAU
rnacentral:lncRNA from 1 species